GACGAACGCUGGCGGCGUGCUUAACACAUGCAAGUCGAACGGGAUCCAAAGGCUUUUUGUUUUUGGUGAGAGUGGCGAACGGGUGAGUAACACGUGAGUAACCUGCCCCCUUCUUUUGGAUAACCGCAUGAAAGUGUGGCUAAUACAGGAUAUUCCAGGCUGGUCGCAUGAUUGGUUUGGGAAAUGGUUUGGUCUGGUGGGGGAUGGGCUCGCGGCCUAUCAGCUUGUUGGUGGGGUGAUGGCCUACCAAGGCGGUGACGGGUAGCCGGCCUGAGAGGGUGGGCGGUCACACUGGGACUGAGAUACGGCCCGGACUCCUACGGGAGGCAGCAGUGGGGGAUUUUGCACAAUGGGCGCAAGCCUGAUGCAGCGACGCCGCGUGAGGGAUGAAGGCCUUCGGGUUGUAAACCUCUUUCGCUGGGUUGAAAGGCCAUGCUUUGGGUGUGGUUGAUUUGAACUGGUAAAGAAGUACCGGCUAACUACGU
rnacentral:rRNA from 1 species